rnacentral:rRNA from 1 species
AGAGUUUGAUCCUGGCUCAGGACGAACGCUGGCGGCGCGCCUAACACAUGCAAGUCGAACGGAGCUGAGAGGAGCUUGCUUUUCUUAGCUUAGUGGCGAACGGGUGAGUAACGCGUGAGUAACCUGCCCUGGAGUGGGGGACAACAGUUGGAAACGACUGCUAAUACCGCAUAAGCCCACGGUGCCGCAUGGCACUGCGGGAAAAGGAUUUAUUCGCUUCAGGAUGGACUCGCGUCCAAUUAGCUAGUUGGUGAGGUAACGGCCCACCAAGGCGACGAUUGGUAGCCGGACUGAGAGGUUGAACGGCCACAUUGGGACUGAGACACGGCCCAGACUCCUACGGGAGGCAGCAGUGGGGGAUAUUGCACAAUGGGGGAAACCCUGAUGCAGCGACGCCGCGUGGAGGAAGAAGGUUUUCGGAUUGUAAACUCCUGUCGUUAGGGACGAUAAUGACGGUACCUAACAAGAAAGCACCGGCUAACUACGUGCCAGCAGCCGCGGUAAAACGUAGGGUGCAAGCGUUGUCCGGAAUUACUGGGUGUAAAGGGAGCGCAGGCGGACCGGCAAGUUGGAAGUGAAAACCAUGGGCUCAACCCGUGAAUUGCUUUCAAAACUGCUGGCCUUGAGUAGUGCAGAGGUAGGUGGAAUUCCCGGUGUAGCGGUGGAAUGCGUAGAUAUCGGGAGGAACACCAGUGGCGAAGGCGACCUACUGGGCACCAACUGACGCUGAGGCUCGAAAGCAUGGGUAGCAAACAGGAUUAGAUACCCUGGUAGUCCAUGCCGUAAACGAUGAUUACUAGGUGUUGGAGGAUUGACCCCUUCAGUGCCGCAGUUAACACAAUAAGUAAUCCACCUGGGGAGUACGACCGCAAGGUUGAAACUCAAAGGAAUUGACGGGGGCCCGCACAAGCAGUGGAAGUAUGUGGUUUAAUUCGAAGCAACGCGAAGAACCUUACCAGGUCUUGACAUCCGAUGCAUAGUGCAAAGAUGCAUGAAGUCCUUUCGGGAAUCCAAGACAGGGGGGGCAUGGGUUGCCUCCACCUCCUGUCCGGAGAAAUUUGGGGUUAAAUCCCCGCACAAAGGCGAACCCCUUAUUUGCCGGUUAUAACCCCCAAGAGGACUCUGGGGAAGAAUCCCUUUGAAAAACAAGGAGAGAAGGGGGGGAUGACGUCAAAUCAUCAUGCCCUUUAUGACCUGGGCUACACACGUACUACAAUGGCGUUUAACAAAGAGAAGCAAGACCGCGAGGUGGAGCAAAACUCAGAAACAACGUCUCAGUUCAGAUUGCAGGCUGCAACUCGCCUGCAUGAAGUCGGAAUUGCUAGUAAUCGCGGAUCAGCAUGCCGCGGUGAAUACGUUCCCGGGCCUUGUACACACCGCCCGUC